rnacentral:rRNA from 1 species
UAGGGAAUCUUCGGCAAUGGGGGGAACCCUGACCGAGCAACGCCGCGUGAGUGAAGAAGGUUUUCGGAUCGUAAAGCUCUGUUGUUAAGGAAGAACGAGUGUGAGAAUGGAAAGUUCAUGCUGUGACGGUACUUAACCAGAAAGGGACGGCUAACUACGUGCCAGCAGCCGCGGUAAUACGUAGGUCCCGAGCGUUGUCCGGAUUUAUUGGGCGUAAAGCGAGCGCAGGCGGUUAGAAAAGUCUGAAGUGAAAGGCAGUGGCUCAACCAUUGUAGGCUUUGGAAACUGUUUAACUUGAGUGCAGAAGGGGAGAGUGGAAUUCCAUGUGUAGCGGUGAAAUGCGUAGAUAUAUGGAGGAACACCGGUGGCGAAAGCGGCUCCCUGGUCUGUAACUGACGCUGAGGCUCGAAAGCGUGGGGAGCGAACAGG